ACUCCUACGGGAGGCAGCAGUAGGGAAUCUUCCGCAAUGGGCGAAAGCCUGACGGAGCAACGCCGCGUGAGUGAUGAAGGUCUUCGGAUCGUAAAACUCUGUUAUUAGGGAAGAACAUAUGUGUAAGUAACUGUGCACAUCUUGACGGUACCUAAUCAGAAAGCCACGGCUAACUACGUGCCAGCAGCCGCGGUAAUACA
rnacentral:rRNA from 1 species